AAAAUGGGAGGUAUAUUUCUUCUAAAGCUAAAUACCGGCCAGAGACCGAUAGCGCACAAGUAGAGUGAUCGAAAGAUGAAAAGCACUUUGAAAAGAGGGUUAAACAGCACGUGAAAUUGUUAAAAGGGAAGCGCUUGUGACCAGACUUGCGUCCGGUGAAUCACCCAGCUCUCGCGGCUGGGGCACUUCGCCGGCUCAGGCCAGCAUCAGCUCGCUGUCGGGGACAAAAGCUUCAGGAACGUAGCUCUCUUCGGGGAGUGUUAUAGCCUGUUGCAUAAUACCCUUCGGCGGGCUGAGGUACGCGCUCCGCAAGGAUGCUGGCAUA
rnacentral:rRNA from 1 species